rnacentral:tRNA from 1 species
UCCUCAAUAGCUCAGCAGAUAGAGCAACGGACUGUGCUGUUAUUAAAUAUGCGUUUGUCCCUGGUUCAAGUCCAGGUUGAGGAGCCA